UGGGGGAUAUUGCACAAUGGGCGAAAGCCUGAUGCAGCGACGCCGCGUGGGGGAUGAAGGCUUUCGGGUUGUAAACCUCUUUCGCUAUCGAACAAGGCCCGCUUAGGGUGGGUUGAGGGUAGGUGGAGAAGAAGCGCCGGCUAACUACGUGCCAGCAGCCGCGGUAAUACGUAGGGCGCGAGCGUUGUCCGGAAUUAUUGGGCGUAAAGGGCUUGUAGGCGGCUUGUUGCGCCUGCUGUGAAAACGCGGGGCUUAACUUCGCGCGUGCAGUGGGUACGGGGAAGCUUGAGUGUGGUAGGGGUGACUGGAAUUCCAGGUGUAGCGGUGGAAUGCGCAGAUAUCUGGAGGAACACCGAUGGCGAAGGCAGGUCACUGGGCCAUUACUGACGCUGAGGAGCGAAAGCAUGGGUAGCGAACAGG
rnacentral:rRNA from 1 species